rnacentral:rRNA from 1 species
UACGUAGGGACCUAGCGUUGUCCGGAAUCAUUGGGCGUAAAGCGCGCGUAGGCGGCCCGGUAAGUCCGUUGUAAAAGUCGAAGGCUCAACCUUCGAAAGCCGAUGGAUACUGCCGGGCUAGAGUCCGGAAGAGGCGAGUAGAAUUCCUGGUGUAGCGGUGGAAUGCGCAGAUAUCAGGAGGAAUACCCAUAGCGAAGGCAGCUCGCUGGGACGGUACUGACGCUGAGACGCGAAAGCGUGGGGAGCGAACAGG